ensembl:lncRNA
CGAUGGUUACCACGAUAGUUACCACGUAGUUACCACGAUAGUUACAAUAGUUACCACGUAGUUACAUUACCACAAUAGUUACGCUAGUUACCACGCAGUUACCACGAUAGUUACGACGUAGUCACCACAUUACCACGAUGCUUACCACGAUAGUUACCACGUAGUUACCACGAUAGUUACAAUAGUUACCACGUAGUUACAUUACCACAAUAGUUACGAUAGUUACCAUGUAGUUACCACAUUACCACGAUAGUUACCACGUAGUUACGAUUGUUAUCACGUAGUUACCUCGUAUUACCACAUAGUUACCACGUAGUUGCCACAUUACCAUGAUAGUUACGCUAGUUACCACGCAGUUACCACGAUAGUUACGACGUAGUCACCACAUUACCACGAUGGUUACCACGUAGUUACUACGGUAGUUACCAUGUAGUUACCACAUUACCACGAUAGUUACCACGCAGUUACCACGAUCGUUACCACGAUAGUUACCACGUAGUUACAUUACCACGAUAGUUACGAUAGUCACCACGUAGUUACCACAUAGUCACCAGUUACCACGUAGUUACCACAUUACCACGAUAGUUACCACGUAUUAUCAACGAUAGUUACCACGUAGUUACAUUACCACGAUAGUUACGAUAGUCACCACGUAGUUACCACGAUAGUUGCGACGUAGUUACCACGUAGUUACCACAUUACCACGAUAGUUACGAUAGUCACCACGUAGUUACCACGAUAGUUGCGACGUAGUUACCACGUAGUUACCACAUUACCACGAUAGUUACGAUAGUUACCACGAUAGUUACCACGUACUUACCACAUUACAACGAUAGUUACGAUAGUUACCACAUAGUUACCACGAUACAUACAAUACAGAAUCACAAGACUAAUUGUAACAUGGAAGAUACCUGGGUGUGAAAGUUUAUUGUUGACCUUUUGAAAAUGAAAAAAAGAAGCUUUAAGCUACCAGCUUUACAGGCCCAACACAUCCAGUUGAUGAAGGAUCUUUUAAAGAGUUCAUCAAUUAGUGUUGGCGGAUAUCUUCAAGCUACAAAUCACCUUUUUGAAGUUUCAAGUUGACAUAUUUCGAAUGCAGUGGAAUCAUGGGAGCAAAAAGAGUGAGUUAAAGUAUAUCCGGCCCUCAGACUGCAGUCGGGUUUUCAUCAGAA